rnacentral:tRNA from 1 species
GCCCUGGUGGUUCAGUGGUAGAAUUCUCGCCUUCCAUGCAGAAGACCUGGAUUCGAUUCCCAGCCAAUGCA